AGGUUCGUAGCUCAGCUGGCAGAGCAGUUGACUCUUAAUCAUCAGGUCGUGGAUUCGAUCCGCACCGGGCCUA
rnacentral:tRNA from 1 species